rnacentral:rRNA from 1 species
AUGCAAGUCGAACGGGAAUUUUGAAAAGCUUGCUUUUUAAAAUUCUAGUGGCGGACGGGUGCGUAACACGUGAGCAACCUGCCCAAAAGAGGGGGAUAGCCCGAGGAAACUCGGAUUAAUACCGCGUAUGGUACGGAAAGGCAUCUUUCCAGUAUUAAAGGUGGGGAUCACUUCGGUGACCUGCCGCUUUUGGAUGGGCUCGCGGACUAUCAGCUUGUUGGUGAGGUAAAGGCUCACCAAGGCUACGACGGGUAACUGGUCUGAGAGGACGAUCAGUCACACUGGAACUGAGACACGGUCCAGACACCUACGGGUGGCAGCAGUCGAGAAUCAUUCGCAAUGGGCGAAAGCCUGACGGUGCGACGCCGCGUGGAGGAUGAAGGCCCUAGGGUCGUAAACUCCUGUCAUUAGAGAGUAAGGCUUAUUGGUUAAUAUCCAGUAAGAUUGAUAUUAUCUGAAGAGGAAGGGACGGCUAACUUCGUGCCAGCAGCCGCGGUAAUACGAAGGUCCCAAGCGUUGUUCGGAUUUACUGGGCGUAAAGCGUGCGUAGGCGGCAAGGUAAGUCAGAUGUGAAAUCCCGGGGCUCAACCCCGGAAC